UGGGCAACCUGCCCCUCUCUCUGGGAUAACCCCGGGAAACCGGAGCCAAUACCGGAUACUCCGGCUGGAUCGCAUGGUCCGGCCGGGAAAGGUCCGCCGGAGAGGGAUGGGCCCGCGGCCUAUCAGCUUGUUGGUGGGGUCAUGGCUCACCAAGGCGACGACGGGUAGCUGGUCUGAGAGGGCGACCGGCCACACUGGGACUGAGACACGGCCCAGACUCCUACGGGAGGCA
rnacentral:rRNA from 1 species